AGCGAACGCUGGCGGCAGGCUUAACACAUGCAAGUCGAACGCCCCGCAAGGGGAGUGGCAGACGGGUGAGUAACACGUGGGAACGUACCCUUUGGUUCGGAAUAACUUGGGGAAACUCAAGCUAAUACCGGAUAAGCCCUUAUGGGGAAAGGUUUACUGCCGAAGGAUCGGCCCGCGUCUGAUUAGCUAGUUGGCGAGGUAAUGGCUCACCAAGGCGACGUUCAGUAGCUGGUCUGAGAGGAUGAUCAGCCACACUGGGACUGAGACACGGCCCAGACUGCUACGGGAGGCAGCAGUGGGGAAUAUUGGACAAUGGGGGCAACCCUGAUCCAGCCAUGCCGCGUGAGUGAUGAAGGCCUUAGGGUGGUAAAGCUCUUUUACCCGGGACGAUAAUGACUGUACCGGGAGAAUAAGCCCCGGCUAACUUCGUGCCAGCAGCCGCGGUAA
rnacentral:rRNA from 1 species